rnacentral:ncRNA from 1 species
AGACGUUCUCAGGGCGGGGUGGAACUCCCCACCGGCGGUAGGCGCGACAAGCGCGAGCCCGCGAGCGCCUUCGGCACAAUGCCGGAGGGUCAGCAGAUCCGGUCGAACUCCGGAGCCGACGGUCAUAGUCCGGAUGAAAGAGAACGCGG